ACGAGCGACAGCCCAGCCGUAUGACCCACGAUCCAUCUCAUCUUCCACCUCUAGCGCGCCGCACCCCUGCCACGCCGCCGGUCUUAGCCCCUACCCUACCCCAAGUCCCCCCACCCUCGCGGCCUUCCACCGCUGGCGAGAGUCCACGGUGCGGCCGCUGCUAGCUCCCCCUGCCUCUGCUACCACGGCACCGCCGGGAAUCUUAUCCCCCGCCAUGCGAGUUGUCAUGGAGGCAGAGCUGAUUCGCCACGGGUGUGACGGCGGGGGUAAAGAUGAUGGUGCACUUGGAGGCACUGGGACGGGGAGCGAGGUGAAGAAGAUGGGGUAGAAAGCAGUUGUGGUGCAUGUGUGCCUCACCUCCAUUGUUUUGUGACCAAGCCCACCUGAAAUCUAGGCGGCAAAUUAUUCAUGGAUAUGCGGUACAAACCAUCCCUAUGAGAAAUCCAAUGGAUUCGAUGCGAAUUGAGGAAGGAGCCGGAGCAGAUGGUGGGUUGAGGAAGGAGCUGGAGCAGAGGCGGAUUUGAGGCUUCCCCUACACGUGCUAAGAGGCAGGAGGAAAAUAUGAGGCACCGGCGAUCCGGACGCUGCAGUGUUUUCUCCGUCUCUCCUGGUGCGAGACCAUAAAUUCAGAGGAUGUGCAAGAUGAAACAUGGUGCAUGAUGCUUCAUGAGCAUAAUUGUAAUGAUUACAAACUUUCUUAGGAAAACCAAUACAACAGUGAUAAAUAUAAUUUCAUUUAUAGCACAUGUUUUGAACUGUAUUUUAUAUACAAUUUCUAUAUCAUGGUGGAACACAAAAUGUAAAUAGAAAAGAAUAGCAC